GACGAACGCUGGCGGCGUGCCUAAUACAUGCAAGUCGAGCGAAUGGAGGAGAGCUUGCUCUCCGAAGUUAGCGGCGGACGGGUGAGUAACACGUGGGCAACCUGCCUAUAAGACUGGGAUAACUUCGGGAAACCGGAGCUAAUACCGGAUAGAUUCUUUCCUCUCAUGAGGAAAGAAGGAAAGAUGGUUUUGGCUAUCACUUAUAGAUGGGCCCGCGGCGCGUUAGCUAGUUGGUAAGGUAACGGCUUACCAAGGCGACGAUGCGUAGCCGACCUGAGAGGGUGAUCGGCCACACUGGGACUGAGACACGGCCCAGACUCCUACGGGAGGCAGCAGUAGGGAAUCUUCCGCAAUGGACGAAAGUCUGACGGAGCAACGCCGCGUGAACGAUGAAGGCCUUCGGGUCGUAAAGUUCUGUUGUUAGGGAAGAACAAGUAUGAGAGUAACUGCUCGUACCUUGACGGUACCUAACCAGAAAGCCACGGCUAACUACGUGCCAGCCGCCGCCGUAACAC
rnacentral:rRNA from 1 species